rnacentral:rRNA from 1 species
AUUGAACGCUGGCGACAUGCCUUACACAUGCAAGUCGAACGGCAGCACGGGUGCUUGCACCUGGUGGCGAGUGGCGAACGGGUGAGUAAUACAUCGGAACAUGUCCUGUAGUGGGGGAUAGCCCGGCGAAAGCCGGAUUAAUACCGCAUACGAUCUACGGAUGAAAGCGGGGGACCUUCGGGCCUCGCGCUAUAGGGUUGGCCGAUGGCUGAUUAGCUAGUUGGUGGGGUAAAGGCCUACCAAGGCGACGAUCAGUAGCUGGUCUGAGAGGACGACCAGCCACACUGGGACUGAGACACGGCCCAGACUCCUACGGAGGCAGCAGUGGGGAAUUUUGGACAAAGGGCGAAAGCCUGAUCCAGCAAUGCCGCGUGUGUGAAGAAGGCCUUCGGGUUGUAAAGCACUUUUGUCCGGAAAGAAAUCCUUGGCCCUAAUACGGUCGGGGGAUGACGGUACCGGAAGAAUAAGCACCGGCUAACUACGUG